UGGGGAAUAUUGCACAAUGGGCGCAAGCCUGAUGCAGCCAUGCCGCGUGUAUGAAGAAGGCCUUCGGGUUGUAAAGUACUUUCAGCGGGGAGGAAGGGAGUAAGUUAAUACCUUUGCUCAUUGACGUUACCCGCAGAAGAAGCACCGGCUAACUCCGUGCCAGCAGCCGCGGUAAUACGGAGGGUGCAAGGGUUAAUCGGAAUUACUGGGCGUAAAGCGCACGCAGGCGGUUUGUUAAGUCAGAUGUGAAAUCCCCGGGCUCAACCUGGGAACUGCAUCUGAUACUGGCAAGCUUGAGUCUCGUAGAGGGGGGUAGAAUUCCAGGUGUAGCGGUGAAAUGCGUAGAGAUCUGGAGGAAUACCGGUGGCGAAGGCGGCCCCCUGGACGAAGACUGACGCUCAGGUGCGAAAGCGUGGGGAGCAAACAGG
rnacentral:rRNA from 1 species